rnacentral:rRNA from 1 species
CGAGCGGAAACGACACUAACAAUCCUUCGGGUGCGUUAAUGGGCGUCGAGCGGCGGACGGGUGAGUAAUGCCUAGGAAAUUGCCUUGAUGUGGGGGAUAACCAUUGGAAACGAUGGCUAAUACCGCAUAAUGCCUACGGGCCAAAGAGGGGGACCUUCGGGCCUCUCGCGUCAAGAUAUGCCUAGGUGGGAUUAGCUAGUUGGUGAGGUAAUGGCUCACCAAGGCGACGAUCCCUAGCUGGUCUGAGAGGAUGAUCAGCCACACUGGAACUGAGACACGGUCCAGACUCCUACGGGAGGCAGCAGUGGGGAAUAUUGCACAAUGGGCGAAAGCCUGAUGCAGCCAUGCCGCGUGUAUGAAGAAGGCCUUCGGGUUGUAAAGUACUUUCAGUUGUGAGGAAGGGGGUAGCGUUAAUAGCGUUAUCUCUUGACGUUAGCAACAGAAGAAGCACCGGCUAACUCCGUGCCAGCAGCCGCGGUAAUACGGAGGGUGCGAGCGUUAAUCGGAAUUACUGGGCGUAAAGCGCAUGCAGGUGGUU